AAAGCUUGCUUUUGAAAGGUCAGCGGCGGACGGGUGAGUAACACGUGGGCAACCUGCCUGUAAGACUGGGAUAACUUCGGGAAACCGGAGCUAAUACCGGAUAAUAUAAGGAACCUCCUGGUUCUUUAUUGAAAGAUGGUUUCGGCUAUCACUUACAGAUGGGCCCGCGGCGCAUUAGCUAGUUGGUGAGGUAAUGGCUCACCAAGGCGACGAUGCGUAGCCGACCUGAGAGGGUGAUCGGCCACACUGGGACUGAGACACGGCCCAGACUCCUACGGGAGGCAGCAGUAGGGAAUCUUCCACAAUGGACGAAAGUCUGAUGGAGCAACGCCGCGUGAGCGAUGAAGGCCUUCGGGUCGUAAAGCUCUGUUGUUAGGGAAGAACAAGUGCGAGAGUAACUGCUCGCACCUUGACGGUACCUAACCAGAAAGCCACGGCUAACUACGUGCCAGCAGCCGCGGUAAUACGUAGGUGGCAAGCGUUGUCCGGAAUUAUUGGGCGUAAAGCGCGCGCAGGUGGUUCUUUAAGUCUGAUGUGAAAGCCCACGGCUCAACCGUGGAGGGUCAUUGGAAACUGGGGAACUUGAGUGCAGAAGAGGAAAGUGGAAUUCCAAGUGUAGCGGUGAAAUGCGUAGAGAUUUGGAGGAACACCAGUGGCGAAGGCGACUUUCUGGUCUGUAACUGACACUGAGGCGCGAAAGCGUGGGGAGCAAACAGGAUUAGAUACCCUGGUAGUCCACGCCGUAAACGAUGAGUGCUAAGUGUUAGAGGGUUUCCGCCCUUUAGUGCUGCAGCUAACGCAUUAAGCACUCCGCCUGGGGAGUACGGUCGCAAGACUGAAACUCAAAGGAAUUGA
rnacentral:rRNA from 1 species